GACAGAAUUCUAUCAAGAGGUGGGAGAUACACAGAGGAGGAUGCCAAAAGUAUUGUGGUUCAAAUACUAAAUGUUGUCGCCUUUUGUCAUCUUCAAGGUGUGGUGCACCGCGAUCUGAAGCCUGAGAACUUUCUUUUUGCAAAGAAAGAUGAAGAUUCACCAAUGAAGGUGAUUGAUUUUGGUCUAUCAGAUUUCAUUAAACCAGAUCAGCGUCUUAACGAUAUUGUUGGCAGUGCAUAUUA
rnacentral:misc_RNA from 1 species